UACGUAGGGGGCAAGCGUUGUCCGGAAUCAUUGGGCGUAAAGAGCGUGUAGGCGGCUCGAUAAGUCUGCUGUGAAAGUCCAGGGCUCAACCCUGGAAGGCCGGUGGAAACUGUCGGGCUAGAGUCCGGAAGAGGCGAGUGGAAUUCCUGGUGUAGCGGUGAAAUGCGCAGAUAUCAGGAGGAACACCAGUAGCGAAGGCGGCACUCUGGGCCGGUACUGACGCUGAGGAGCGAAAGCGUGGGGAGCGAACAGG
rnacentral:rRNA from 1 species